rnacentral:lncRNA from 14 species
AAACCCCCACUGUGACCCUCUUUGGGGUGUUCACAUCCCCAAACCCCCACUGUGACCCUUUUUGGGGUGUCCCCCGUCCCCGUGCUCACGGCGCCGCCGUUCCCAGACGCGGAAGAUCCUGGCGGCGUGCGAGAAGAACCCCGUCGACAGCCACCAGCUCAACUACGACCAGCACAACCCCUUCGACAUCUGCGCCGCCUCCUACCGCCCCAUCUACCGCGGCAAAGCCGUGGAGAAGUGUCCCCUCAGCGGGGCCUGCUACAGCCCCGAGUUCCGGGGGCAGAUCUGCCGCGUCACCACGGUGACGGAGAUCGGGAAGGACGUGCUGGGGCUGCGCAUCAGCCCCCUCCAGUUCCGCUAGGAAUUCUCCUGGAGAAGGAAAUUCCCACUCCCCCAUCCCAGCUUUCCCCCCAGUCCCUCCCCUCGGCCAUUCCCAUCCUCCCUUCCCGGUUUUUCCCCACUCUGGAAUGCCAGACUGGGGUUUUUUUCCCCACAUUUAGCAGGAAUUUUUUUUUCCUUGCUCCCACAGCAAUUUUCCUGUGCUUUUAUCCCAAUUAUUUUCCAGAGGGGGAAGGCGGGGGGGGCUCUUCCCAAAUCCUGGCUGUGACACAAGCACCUCUGCUCCCCUUAAAAUCCCAAAAAACUGCUCAAAAACCCCUGGGAUUGGCUCUGUAAAUCCCGGAUCAGGGAAAUCCCGCUCCCUCUGGAAGCGUCUCCGUGUUUGUUGACUCCUCCUGUUGUUGCCAUGGCAACCCAGCGAGCUCCCAUUGUUAAUAAAGUUCGUUAAUCACCUGGAUUUUCCUGCUUUGCAGCUCAGGACACACACACACGCAAAAAAUACUGGAAUUUAAUCCCUUUUCCCACCUCUGCUUGGAGAGCUGGGAAUUUGUUCCAGAGGAUGGGAUCGGCACUCCUGGGAUAAUUUGGAGCCGGGUGUGUUAAUGCGCGGGGUGUAAUUAACGCCCCAAUUAACCCUGAGGGCCUGUCCUGCUUUUCCAGGUGGAGUUUUGUCCUUUGGCACCCCCGGGUUUGGCCCCAGGGCGCGGAAAAGGCUCCGGGAUCCCUGAAUUUGGGCGGAUUCCGAACCCUGCGGGGCGGAGAGGGAUGGGAAUAACAACGGGGGAGGAUGCGGGGUGCAAUUCCAGGGGUUGUCCUGCUGGGAAUGUCCAGGGAACGGGGCUGGAAAAGGAAAUCAGGAAUCCUGGGGGGGCU